rnacentral:rRNA from 1 species
GACGGAGGGGGCUAGCGUUAUUCGGAAUUACUGGGCGUAAAGAGUGCGUAGGCGGUUUAGUAAGUUGGAAGUGAAAGCCCGAGGCUUAACCUCGGAACUGCUUUCAAAACUACUAAUCUAGAGUGUAGUAGGGGAUGAUGGAAUUCCUAGUGUAGAGGUGAAAUUCUUAGAUAUUAGGAGGAACACCGGUGGCGAAGGCGGUCAUCUGGGCUACAACUGACGCUGAUGCACGAAAGCGUGGGGAGCAAACAGG